rnacentral:rRNA from 1 species
GAUUAACGCUGGCGGCGUGCAUAACACAUGCAAGUCGAACGAAGUGGCGGACGGGUGAGUAACGCGUGAGUAACCUGCCUUAGAGAUGGGGAUAGCCUCUGGAAACGGAGAAUAAUACCCAAUGCUCUAAGAUGGAUGUGCGUCUUAUUAGCUAGUUGGUGAGAUAAUGGCUCACCACGGCAACGAUCAGUAGCCGGCGUGAGAGAGUUGACGGCCACAUUGGGACUGAGGCAAGGCCCAGACUCUACGGGAGGCAGCAGUGGUGAAAUUUGCACAAUGGGGGAAACCCUGAUGCAGCGACGCCGCGUGAUUUAGAAGUCCUUCGGGUUGUAAAAAUCUUUUGUAUAGUACGCAGUACUAUACGAAUAAGGACCGGCUAAUUACGUGCCAGCAGCCGCGGUAAUUC